rnacentral:rRNA from 1 species
GAUGAACGCUAGCGAUAGGCUUAACACAUGCAAGUCGAGGGGCAGCAUGAUCUUAGCUUGCUAAGGUCGAUGGCGACCGGCGCACGGGUGCGUAACGCGUAUGCAACUUGCCUUACAGAGGGGGAUAACCCGUUGAAAGACGGACUAAAACCGCAUACACUUGUAUUAUUGCAUGAUAUUACAAGGAAAUAUUUAUAGCUGUAAGAUAGGCAUGCGUCCCAUUAGCUGGUUGGUGAGGUAACGGCUCACCAAGGCGACGAUGGGUAGGGGAACUGAGAGGUUUAUCCCCCACACUGGUACUGAGACACGGACCAGACUCCUACGGGAGGCAGCAGUGAGGAAUAUUGGUCAAUGGGCGAGAGCCUGAACCAGCCAAGUCGCGUGAAGGAAGACAGUCCUAAGGAUUGUAAACUUCUUUUAUACGGGAAUAACGGGCGAUACGAGUAUUGCAUUGAAUGUACCGUAAGAAUAAGCAUCGGCUAACUCCGUGCCAGCAGCCGCGGUAAUACGGAGGAUGCGAGCGUUAUCCGGAUUUAUUGGGUUUAAAGGGUGCGUAGGUUGUUCGGUAAGUCAGCGGUGAAACCUGAGCGCUCAACGUUCAGCCUGCCGUUGAAACUGCCGGGCUUGAGUUCAGUGGCGGCAGGCGGAAUUCGUGGUGUAGCGGUGAAAUGCAUAGAUAUCACGAGGAACUCCGAUUGCGAAGGCAGCUUGCCAUACUGCGACUGACACUGAAGCACGAAGGCGUGGGUAUCAAACGGG